ensembl:snRNA U6 U6 spliceosomal RNA
GUGCUUGCUCCAACAGCACAUAUACUAAAAUUAGAACAAUACAGAGAAGAUAGGCAUGGCUCCUGCACAAGGAUGAUAAACAAAUUCAUGGCUGGGCGCAGUGGCUC